CAUGUAUCCUGGAAGUGCCGAUUUUUUUUUUCUAUUUUUCUUUCUGGUAUAAACACACGCCACAGUAUUAAAUUGACCACAGGACGCCACAUUGAAUACUUAAGAUUGCACUAGGGGACUUAACCAAGGUGAGCACACUUUUUCUGUGAAUUAAUUUAACCUUAACCCUACACUAUCCCUAAUCCUAAAACAGCAUUAACACUUACCUAACCCUAAUCCUACUGCUAACCAUGCCCUACCACUAACUUUAACCUUAACAUUAGCCCUAAGCCUAAGCAAAGCCUCUACUAAUAUCAGCACUGAUAUCAGGAGAUGGGUUUCCUAGUUAAAACUACUUUUUUCCAGUAAUACUGAAUAAAGCAUUAUUUCCCAACCAAUUAGAUAGUGAUCAGCCAUGGUGUUCUAUUGAUUUGAAGGGCUGUAUGUGGAGCUUAAUUUAAGCGCUGCAUACAGCUCAGCACUCAUCUUAAGCCACUAAAAAUGUCCCAGAUGACAGAGGGAAGCCCCAUGACUCAAUUGAUACCUAUAUCUCUCUGGUGUGAGCAGGGAUCUAACUAGUCACACUGCAUUACAGCAAUAGGAAUUUGAAUUCCUUUUAAUUUCCUUUUUAAAGAACGGCAUGCAGUGCUCAGUUUGAGGACUGCAUACAACGCAUCUGUUUGUCUGGGACCACUACAAAUGUCACCAAAUGACAAAGGGGAGCCUUUCCAGGUUUGAGCAGAGAUUUAACCCUGCUUUCACUGCAUUACAUCCUUUGUGUAUUUAAUUUCCCUUUUAAAGAGCUGUAUGCUGCACUCAAUUUGAGCACUGCAUACAGCUCAUCUGUCAGUCUUGGCCACUAAAAAAAGACACCAGCUGACAG